rnacentral:lncRNA from 1 species
GGCAUCUGGGCUGAUUACUUGGUGUCUGCAGCUUCAAGAACCAGGUUCAAUUCCCCUCCAAGUGCACCUGGGCUGCCUCCUCUUAAUCUUGCUGCACCGCAGCAGCCCCUCCCCAACCCGGUAAAAUGUGGGCGAUAAUUCCUUUCUUACAAGGCCCUUCACAGAUACCUGCUGGUCUCUCCCACUUGGCCAAGGAAACACUUGUGGUUAAU